rnacentral:rRNA from 1 species
AUUGAACGCUGGCGGCAGGCCUAACACAUGCAAGUCGAGCGGAUGAGAAGAGCUUGCUCUUCGAUUCAGCGGCGGACGGGUGAGUAAUGCCUAGGAAUCUGCCUGGUAGUGGGGGACAACGUUUCGAAAGGAGCGCUAAUACCGCAUACGUCCUACGGGAGAAAGCAGGGGACCUUCGGGCCUUGCGCUAUCAGAUGAGCCUAGGUCGGAUUAGCUAGUUGGUGAGGUAAUGGCUCACCAAGGCGACGAGCCGUAACUGGUCUGAGAGGAUGAUCAUUCACACUGGAACGUAGACACCGUCCAGACUCCUACGGGGGGCAGCAGUGGGGAAUAUUGGACAAUGGGCGAAAGCCUGAUCCAGCCAUGCCGCGUGUGUGAAGAAGGUCUUCGGAUUGUAAAGCACUUUAAGUUGGGAGGAAGGGCAGUAAGUUAAUACCUUGCUGUUUUGACGUUACCGACAGAAUAAGCACCGGCUAACUCUGUGCCAGCAGCCGCCGUAAGAC